rnacentral:rRNA from 1 species
CCUACGGGGGGCUGCAGUGGGGAAUAUUGGACAAUGGGCGAAAGCCUGAUCCAGCCAUGCCGCGUGUGUGAAGAAGGCCUUCGGGUUGUAAAGCACUUUCAGUGGGGAAGAAAGCCUUGGGGCUAAUACCCUCGAGGAAGGACAUCACCCACAGAAGAAGCACCGGCUAACUCCGUGCCAGCAGCCGCGGUAAUACGGAGGGGUGCGAGCGUUAAUCGGAAUUACUGGGCGUAAAGCGCGCGUAGGCGGUCUGAUAAGCCGGUUGUGAAAGCCCCGGGCUCAACCUGGGAACGGCAUCCGGAACUGUCAGGCUAGAGUGCAGGAGAGGAAGGUAGAAUUCCCGGUGUAGCGGUGAAAUGCGUAGAGAUCGGGAGGAAUACCAGUGGCGAAGGCGGCCUUCUGGACUGACACUGACGCUGAGGUGCGAAAGCGUGGGUAGCAAACAGGAUUAGAUACCCGAGUAGUC